rnacentral:misc_RNA from 1 species
AGAAUAUUAGAUUUACAGCAUACAACAUAUUUUGUUUAUCAUGAUCAAGAAGACUGCCACUUUCGAUGAUGAGUUCGUAUAGUUGUUUUAUGAUUUAUGGUUAUUUAAUAGGAAUUUAGGAAUAUGGUUUAAGGCGUUUUGAUAUCUUUAGAAUUAUUGCUAUUUGAAUUUCAAUUACAUAGGUGGUGGAAUUCUAAUUCUUUUAUGUUAU